GAGGAAUAUUGGUCAAUGGACGGAAGUCUGAACCAGCCACGUCGCGUGAAGGAAGACGGCCCUACGGGUUGUAAACUUCUUUUAUACGGGAAUAGAGUGCCCCACGUGUGGGGUUUUGCAUGUACCGUAAGAAUAAGCACCGGCUAACUACGUGCCAGCAGCCGCGGUAAUACGUAGGGUGCAAGCGUUAAUCGGAAUUACUGGGCGUAAAGCGUGCGCAGGCGGUUUUGUAAGAAAGUGGUGAAAUCCCCGGGCUCAACCUGGGAACUGCCAUUGUGACUGCAUGGCUGGAGUGCGGCAGAGGGGGAUGGAAUUCCGCGUGUAGCAGUGAAAUGCGUAGAUAUGCGGAGGAACACCGAUGGCGAAGGCAAUCCCCUGGGCCUGCACUGACGCUCAUGCACGAAAGCGUGGGGAGCAAACA
rnacentral:rRNA from 1 species